rnacentral:rRNA from 1 species
GACGAACGCUGGCGGCGUGCUUAACACAUGCAAGUCGAACGGUAAGGCCCUUCGGGGUACACGAGUGGCGAACGGGUGAGUAACACGUGGGUGAUCUGCCCUGCACUUCGGGAUAAGCCUGGGAAACUGGGUCUAAUACCGGAUAGGACCACUGCCUGCAUGGGUGGUGGUGGAAAGCUUUUGGGGGGUGGGAUGGGCCCGCGGCCUAUCAGCUUGUGGGUGGGGUGAGGGCCUACCAAGGCGACGACGGGUAGCCGGCCUGGGAGGGUGACCGGCAACACUGGGACUGAGAUACGGCCCAGACUCCGACGGGAGGCAGCGGGGGGGAAUAUUGCACACGGGGCGCAAGCCUGAUGCAGCGGCGCCGCGUGAGGGAUGACGGCCUUCGGGUUGUAGACCUCUUUCAGCACCGACGAAGCGCAAGUGACGGUAGGUGCAGAAGAAGGACCGGCCAACUACGUGCCAGCCGCCGCGGUAA